GCCGGGGUGGCGGAACGGUAGACGCAGUCGACUCAAAAUCGACCGGGGCAACCCGUGCGGGUUCGACUCCCGCUCUCGGCACCA
rnacentral:tRNA from 1 species